AACAAACCAGCCUUUACCUAUAAAGAACACAAACCGGCCUUUAACCAAAACGUCCCUCAAAACACACAUCUCACAAACUUCUCUCUCUUCUUUCUAAAGAGGCCGCCGCUUCAUUCCGUGUGAGGAUUCGAUCAAACCUCGCUCUCUACCAAUUACGUUUCCCAAGAACAUUGAUUUUCACCAUCUGGGUCUCUUUCAAUUUCAUCAAAAUCCAAUCUUGGCAUCAUAUUAUUUCGUUUUUGGGUAAUUUAUCUUUCUGGGUUCUUCAAUUUUUUUGAAAAAAAAUUAGUGCCUAGUGUUGGUUUAAGCUUUUGGUAAUGGCGGAGACAAAGAACUGGGCCUGCCAAGCCUGCGGCUUCGUCGGCCUAUCCGACGACUCCGACGGCUAUUUCUACUGCGACCGCUGCGGCGCCCAAGCCGAAGACUUGCCAACAUAUCUCCAGUACUGUAAGGAUGUGGUCUUUGCUGUAUUAAAACCGUUUUUUUCUGGAUCAUGAUGAGAAGUUAAUAGAAGAAUUCUGGGAUUUUUAUCAGAAUGAGAAGGAUUCUGAGCCGUCAGAGGAUUUUGAAGAGGGACAUCGUGCUUUAACCAGAAGAGAUUGAGGGAUGAAGGAUUGGCUAGCCAUAUUUCUAUAGAUAAUAAGAGGAUCAGGAUGAAGGGUGUGUUAGUGGCCCAUCCUUUGAUGAUGGAACUUCUCAUGCAGAUGAGUCACAGUCGGGCUAGCCAUAUUUCUAUAGAAAAUUUUGAUAAUAGGCUUUUAGUUGGAGUUGAAUUUCAAAUUUAUUUUAAUUAUUGUUAAAUCUUAUCCCUUAGUCAAAACAUGAGUUUUUUUUUUAUAAUAGACUUUUGGUUUCAAUA